AACCUGGCAAAGGUAACUGCAAAAUCAUGAUUUGUCUUUACUUCUGCCACUUUUCUCUGCCAAAUGUGAAUGACAGUGCUGUGGUUGGUUGUGUUCCUUCCCUGGGGUCUGUAAAAGCCCACAUCUGAUUUGUGGAAAAACCCCAUAUUUUGGUUUCCUUCUUAAAUUAUUUUUCUUGCUGUCAGUAUGUGAACUCUGCUCUUUAAUGAUUCAGCCUGGAUGAACUUCCAUCAACAGUUAACAAGAUGAAGAAUGUAUUUUUCUUUAGAUAUGCUAACAGCAACAGUCAGAACUCUCAGUAAGAUUAGAUCCUGCGUGGAAGAACAUUUUUUCAGGGGGGAAGGGGGCUAUAGGUGCUUCUUACAGUGCUGGUAAUUUUGUCUCUGAUCCAGGGAUCCCUUUCACAGUUGUACUUCACCUGAAGUUAUCUGUGGAGACAAUAAAAAUGCAGAUUCCAAUCUCCCGGAGCAAAAAGUAAUGACAUUAUUCUGAAUUCUGAAAAUGCGAUUCAGCAGAGGUGGAAUACAGCAAGGAUGUACAAAAUCUGCCCCUGCUGUCAAUUAUCUAGCUACAGAAGUGAAUUUGAGUCUCUUAAACAUCUCAGGCCCUUGCUGUUGCUGUACUUCUCUUUGUUUCACUUUUGGUGCUGUUGGUAAGCAGCUCUUGUCUUGAGCAAGAGUCUGUAAUCCAUGAAACCAUCCAUUGGUGUCCUUGCUGGUGGGAAAUUCAUUGGCUUCCCCUUUAUGCAGAGUCAAAAGCACGACUGACAAAUCAGGUGGGCUCUGCUGGUGUGAAGCUGCUCUUUGAUCCUCGGGGGAACCUUCCGGGCUCCCACAGCGCGGAACUCGGAGCUCGCUGUCACCAAGCCUGCCCUUCUGCAGGCUGUCCCUGACGAUGGAAACGUGGAUUUUUCUGAGCUCUCCUGAUCGAUUCAGUGUCAGAUCAGUGUGGUCAGUGAGGUAUUGUGCACGCCUGGGGUGUUGUACACAGCCCCCCUCCUUUGCGUGGGAUUUCGUGGGCUGGGCACGGGGCUUGUGCAGUCCGUGGGAGCCCGGGCUGUGAGCAGAGGUGCUGCAGGUGGCUGUGGCUGUCCCGUGUGUGCCAGGGGACAGCAGGCCUGAGGGGACAGCAGAGAGCUGUUGGCAGAGGGCCAGCGUUGCCCAAACGGCUUUGCUGGCCUCCCCCAGCGUGCCAGUGCACAGCCGUCCCCACGGUCUGAGCUGAGCCACCCCCUGUGUCAGAGGGACAGGGAACACGAGGGGAGCAGAGCUGUGAGGUGUGAGCUGCAGUGCAGGCUGGGUGAUGCUGAGGCCUGAGACAGUACAGGCUGUUUCAGGAAUUUCAAUUUUGCCCUCCAGGGACGGAUGCCAGGGGCUCAGCAGCCUGAGCGCUGCACACUGCGGCGUUUGUGGUCAGGGGGCUCCCCUCCCAGGAGGACACGCUCUGUGCCUCUCUGAUAGGAGGCACCAGCUCUACCUUCUCCUUUGCCAGGUGAAGCCUCUCUGAAUUCCCAGCAGUGGCGUUGCUGAGUCAGGACCAGCCUUACUGCCAGAAAGGUGGGUGCAGCCCUGCCGUGUCACUUCCUGCUCCUGCUCUCGUGCCCUGCCCAGGGACAGGCCAGCCUGCUCCGUGCCCUGCCAGCGUCCAAGCUGCAUGUCCCAGCCUGCUGCUGCUGCAGUGCUGUGCAGAGCUGCUCAACAGGCCCGGGCUUGGGGAAGGAUUCCUCAUCGUGUGAAUGCUGCUGGUGCAGGGGGGCAGAAGGAAGGUGAGAUUUGGAGACCCUUGUACGGAAGCGUUGCACCCUCAGGUUCAGCCUCCAGAGAGGGUCAUGAGUCCUGUCUACCCUUCCUAAUCGUGAGGACACUCACUGUCUGUCCCCAUUUGUUGUCAUCACACAGUGCCUCAGCUCUGUCUCAACGAAUGAGCACUACCCUGGGAUGGCAAAAUGGCUUUUCAUGCCAGGUGAGGUAUAAGAUGCUGUCUCCUGUGUGCCUGGCUCUACCUGAGUGUCCCCUUGCACAGCUUGGGGGAGACAGGUGAGAGCAGCAAGAUGGUUCCUGUCCAAAGACGUGUCAUUUUGUGCAUGACAUCGUUAUAAAAUGGGGAAUGAGGGUAAAAACAAUGACAAGUGUGAGCAUCUUUGUCAUUAAUCUGUCACUGCUGAUGUUGCUGGCCAGGAAUGCCCAGCUCACAGGUGUUGCUGAGCUGGACAGCAGGUGCAGACUGAAAAAGGCAGGAGCACAGACUUUGGGGAGGUUGUCCUAGGCUUAGUUUAGGCUUUGUAAGGGCUCACCACCGCGGGCCCCUGGAUGACUCCUGUGGAGGCGCCGUGUCCUUUUGUCCUCCUUUGUCCUCGCAGGUGCACCUGCCAGUGUGGGCAGCCAGGUGGAACACGGUGGUGGUGACAACCUUGAGCUGUUUGGCCAGCCACGGUGACCCCAGGGAGGAGGUGAAGCAAGAAACCCAGGGCCAUGAGCUGUAGCAGUGCUUCAGGCUGCAUCCUCCAGCCUCCUCCUCUGACGGUGCAGCCCACCGGUAAAAAUAUCUCCUGCCCUGUGACCUGGCUCCUGUUUCUCCGCCACAAGGCACUGAAUCUCAUCCCGCUGCCUUAUUCUCCAGCUGACAUCCUCCCAGCGCAGCAGUCGAUGUCCAAACAGAAAGACUGUUUCCAGUCAGACUGUUCCCAGUGGCACAGGACAAACAAAUGGUUAAUAAACACAGAGAACAUGCUGAAGAAGUGCAGCACAGGAUCAGUAACUGCUUUAUGUGGGAGGCCCUUGUUGGAUUUCAGACUCAGUGUGACUCAGAAGCGGGCACUCCUGCUAACCAAGAAGACGGGUGAGCAGUGCCCAUGAUGAAGAGCCCAUUCUGUUGCCACAUUCAGCUCCUGCAGAGAAAUCUGGAAAGGGCAUGAUCUGGAAUAAUCUGCUGAUGAGAUGGGAAGGAGCAGCGGGAUCAGCCCUUUCAACAGAGCAGCAGCAAAUACAGCAUCUCCGGGAUUUACACCCCUGUGUGCCUGACGGCGUUUGUGGCUCCUUUUGGGGAGCCGUCCUGAGCCGAGGGGCUUUGACGGGCUGAAACAUGGACUGGGCACCCAGGUUUGUUACUGAUGGUGGAAACCAC